rnacentral:rRNA from 1 species
AUUCCAGCUCCAAUAGCGUAUAUUAAAGUUGUUGCAGUUAAAAAGCUCGUAGUUGGAUUUCGGAAUGGGUCAGUUGGUCCGCCGCAAGGUGAGUUACUGACUGAUUUGUUCUUCUUCGCAAAGACUGCGUGUGCUCUUUACUGAGUGUACGUAGGAUUUACGACGUUUACUUUGAAAAAAUUAGAGUGUUCAAAGCAGGCUAUCGCUUGAAUACAUGAGCAUGGAAUAAUGGAAUAGGACUCUGGUUCUAUUUUGUUGGUUUCUAGGACCGAAGUAAUGAUUAAGAGGGACAGUUGGGGCCGUUUAUAUUUCGUUGUCAGAGGUGAAAUUCUUGGAUUUACGAAAGAUAAACUUCUGCGAAAGCAUUCGGCAAGGAUGUUUUCAUUA